rnacentral:rRNA from 1 species
AGUGAACGCUGGCGGUAGGCCUAACACAUGCAAGUCGAACGGCAGCACAGAGGAGCUUGCUCCUUGGGUGGCGAGUGGCGGACGGGUGAGGAAUACAUCGGAAUCUACUCUGUCGUGGGGGAUAACGUAGGGAAACUUACGCUAAUACCGCAUACGACCUACGGGUGAAAGCAGGGGAUCUUCGGACCUUGCGCGAUUGAAUGAGCCGAUGUCGGAUUAGCUAGUUGGCGGGGUAAAGGCCCACCAAGGCGACGAUCCGUAGCUGGUCUGAGAGGAUGAUCAGCCACACUGGAACUGAGCCACGGUCCAGACUCCUACGGGAGGCAGCAGUGGGGAAUAUUGGACAAUGGGCGCAAGCCUGAUCCAGCCAUACCGCGUGGGUGAAGAAGGCCUUCGGGUUGUAAAGCCCUUUUGUUGGGAAAGAAAUCCAUCUGGUUAAUACCCGGAUGGGAUGACGGUACCCAAAGAAUAAGCACCGGCUAACUUCGUGCCAGCAGCCGCCGUAA